UUUUCAACCCUCUCUAUUUUUAUACACAAACAAACCCCUCACUCUCACCCACGUACUGCUCUUCUGCUCCCACUCCACUCCGCUCGCAACAUUUCUACCCCAGACCAAAAAGCAAACCAGGACUCUUCUUCUUCUUCUUCUCUCUCUCUCUCUCUCUCUCGUGCUCUGUUUCGAGAAGCAGAGCAUGGAGCGUGGUUUCAUCUUCUGCUUUUUCUUACUUCUUUGCAUUUUCUGUAUUGCAGAUGCGGGCUCAAUCGGAGUUAACUAUGGAAGAAUCGCCAACAACUUACCUUCUGCAGUGAAAGUGGUGCAGCUUCUCAAGUCUCAAGGUCUGCAGCGGGUAAAGGUUUUCGACGCUGAUCCGGCUGUACUCAAAGCUUUAUCUGGAUCCUCGAUUAAAGUAACCGUCGACUUACCAAAUGAGCUACUCUAUUCCGCUGCCAAACGCCAGUCAUUUGCCUUAUCUUGGGUUCAACGAAAUAUUGCUGCUUACUACCCAUCUACCCAAAUCGAAGCCAUUGCUGUUGGUAAUGAAGUUUUCGUGGAUCCACAUAACACUACCAAGUUUCUUAUACCCGCCAUGAAAAAUAUCCACCAAGCUUUAGAAAAGCUCAAUCUUCAUUCUGACAUUAAAAUCUCUUCACCCAUAGCUUUAAGUGCUCUUCAAUCCUCUUACCCGUCGUCUGCUGGAGCUUUCAGAUCCGAAUUAAUUGAACCCGUUUUCAAGCCUUUACUGGAUUUUCUCCGUCAAACCGGGUCAUACCUUAUGGUCAAUGCCUACCCGUUUUUCGCAUACGAAUCGAACUCGGAUGUCAUAUCCCUAGACUACGCUUUGUUUAGAGAGAAUCCUGGUGUGGUGGAUGCGGGUAAUGGGUUAAGGUAUUUUAGCCUCUUUGAUGCCCAAAUCGACGCCGUUUUUGCUGCUAUGUCUGCUUUAAAAUAUGAUGAUAUUAGAAUGGUCGUGACCGAGACUGGAUGGCCAUCAAAAGGUGAUGAGAACGAGUUAGGUGCGAGCUUGCAAAAUGCAGCAGCUUACAACGGCAAUCUCAUCCGUCGGAUUCUUACUGGCGGUGGGACCCCUCUAAGACCAAAAGCAGAUCUCACCGUUUAUCUUUUUGCUUUGUUCAACGAGAACCAAAAGAAUGGUCCCACAUCAGAGAGAAACUACGGGCUUUUUUACCCUAACGAGCAAAAAGUAUACGAUAUCCCAUUUACAGUAGAAGGCCUCAAGAAUUACAAGGACAACCCGUCACCGGCGUCCGGUGGUCAGCAGGUGACGAAUCCAGUCAACGGCGGAGUAUCCAAGAGCACUACAGGCAACACGUGGUGCGUGGCGAAUUCUGAAGUGGGGAAAGAGAAGCUGCAGGCGGGUCUAGAUUUUGCUUGCGGUGAAGGAGGAGCCGAUUGCCGUCCGAUUCAACCAGGUGCCUCGUGUUAUAAUCCCAACACGAUUGAGGCCCACGCCUCGUUUGCUUUUAACAGUUAUUAUCAAAAGAACGGGCGGAAGGCUGGUACCUGUUAUUUCGGAGGCUCAGCUUUGGUUGUCACCCAAGCACCGAGUGCGUAUUUUAGCUUUCUCUAUCUCUCUCUUUAUUACUCUAAAUGAUUUGCUAACCUGUGCACGUUAGGCCUAUGUUAGAUAACUAGCAUAGCACUAUGAUAAAUUGCGCCGAGAAAAUAAGGCUGGCAUCGGGCGCUGGUCCACCAAGUGUAGAACAAUAGUGCACGCCGGGUUAGGGUAAAUGUCUAAAAAGGCAAAAAAUGUGACUACUGGUCAUGAUGGGAUGGAGAAUCUUUAGGGAUGCUGACGUGGCGUGCACUAAUUGGAAGAAAACGUGGACAUAUCUUUUUGACUGAGUGGUUAAUAUUUUUUAAUGGUACUGCACGCUUUUGUUUGGUGAAUAAUGGAGCACCCUUUAGCACUGUGAAUUGGUUGGUAUUACAAAGGGUAAAAAGAGUAUGGAGAAUGCGAGUUUCCCACAGGAUAUUGAAGAGCAGAUGCAGAAGCAGAGGAAUAUGGAAUAUGGUUUGGGGGUUAAUUUAGUAAUUUUGGGGGUUUUAUUAUUGUAUUUAUUGUGGAGUAGUUGAAAUUGUUGACAAUUAUUUUUGACUAUGUCGGAGUCUGUAAUUAUUGAAAGUUAACAUAUUAUUGUAUUUCACUUUCCAUAUAUUAGUUUUCUUUUACUACGCAGUAGUUUUUCA